AUUAUAAUAUUUUAAUAAAAAUAUUGUUUUGCAAAAACAAAGUUAACUUUAAGUUUUAUAAUU
rnacentral:tRNA from 1 species